GGGGGGUGGCACUUCUGGCAAACAUCAUCAGCAAAGUCCAACAGCAGUUUCUUUUCCACACCUUUUGAGAUGCCCAUGAUUUUUAGAAGUAAUUCAUUAAGCCAUCAAGACUCUCAAGUACACGAGUCCAACUGAGUCUUCAACGAAGUUCAACAGUAAAUUUAUUGAGAAACCCAUAUUUUUUCUUCAAAAUCAAUGAGUGGUAACAAGUUCACGAUAAAGACAUUGUCAAACAUCAGCCAGAUCCUUCUGGUUAGGUUUUAGUUACCUUAUGUAUUUUUCUAAUCAUGUAUGAGUUUUUUCCCCUGCAGACAUAAAAUUACAUCCUAGCAGGUCACUGAAGUCCAUCAGUAGAUUGAUUUAUUUCCAAAUUCCACGAUGUGUAUUAAUUUUUAGUCUACAAAAAACACAUGUGUGAAAUCUUCAAGAAAAGACAUUUUCAACCCUCUUCUGGAUGUUCAAGUUUUAAAAAUUGUGUCCAUAAACAGAAUGUCAGCAAUCAUCCAGACGAUUAUGAAAUAACAUUCUUAACCUUCCUCAACCCAAGGGGCUCUUUAAUCAAGUCUAUAAAACACGUGUGUGAAAUCUUCAAGAAAAGACAAUUUCAAGAUGAAGCCAGGAUUUCAACCCUCUUCUGGAUGUUCAAGUUUUAAAAAACUGUGAAAAUAAACAGAAUGUCAACAAUGAAAUAACACUCUUAACCUUCCUCAAGAGGCUCUUUAAUCAAGUCAACAACAGCACCUGUGUGAAAUCUUCAAGAAAAGACAUUUUCAAGCAGAAGCCAGGAUCUCAACAAACUUCUGGAUGUUCAAGAUUAAUAUUUGGAAAAUGUAAUAGUAUUUAUUUAUUUAUUUUUGUAAAGGGAGGGAAUUCAAGUAAAAUUUAGUUAUGUUUUAAAGGGGUAGGAUCUGGUGGGUGAUAUACAAUUAACUUAUUACACCUUUUGUUUUUCUUUUGUUUCACUGUCAUUGUUCUUUCUAUUGGAUGGAUGGUGGGGAUGCAGAGUAUGGUUUUUGUGGGUCAGGGGAGGGUUAUCCUGACGGAAGGUGGGUGUGGAAGAGGGGGCAGCUGGUAAUGGUGGCACACCAGGGAGAUGAACAGUUGGAGAGGUCUGCUCAAUAGAGCAGGCCGCCUGCCAACCUCCGCUGCGAGUGUGUUGACAUCUGUGGCCUGCUCGGCUGGCCCAUUGUUGAUUACCAGAUAAUGCCUGAACCCUAGCCUUGUCAGUCUGGAUAAUGUGUCAUAUGUUUGUGAAUAUUGCAGUUUCCUUGUCUAUGUAAGCAGAGUGCCUGAUUGUAAACAGGUCGUUUCAUUAGUAAUGUGCAAGCUGUUUCACUUAUUUUUUUUCCUGUUACAAUGCACAAAUAGAAACAUAGGCUCUUUUAGGAAAGGGAAAGGAACCAGGGGCUUGUUGUGGUGUUAAUGUUGCUAACAUCAUCAAAGUAUUUAGUUAACUAAAUGUAAAACUUUUAACAAGUAAUAUUCUUGACUUGCAGACAUGAUGUAAUAUUUAAAUCCGGUGAGAACUGGACAUAAACUAAAGAAAAAACCUUUGUCCUUUAAGGCCUUUUUCAAUAUAAAGAGUAGUUUAUUCUCUUUGGCAAUGUGGUAGCGAUUGUUCCAUUUACACUGUAUUUGUUAGUAAAAGAAUAGGGACCAGUGGCUCUCUAGCUUGUUUUAAUAGAAAGAAAAAUAGUCAACCUGUAAAAUUUAUAAGAAAUCAUAAUUUUUAAGAAAAGAAAUAUAUAAAUAUAAUAGUAAUGGUACUAAAUAGUAUAGACUGUCCACAACCUGACUUUUGAUAUUUCUGGCAUUAGGGGAGGAAUGCUAGAAACGUCUAAAGUUAAGUUUAAUCAGCUGUUUUCAUGGCCUUUAGUUGUGAAGGCAUUUAGGGAUGCUGAAGACAACUAUAUUUUUCAGGCAGCACUGACACUAAACAGUCUAUAUUAUCAAACCAGUUUUCAGAAAAAUGAAAAUUCCUUAAAAUAUAAAAAAAAACCCUCUACAAUUAUUUAUAACAGAGUUAUUACCUGAUUCAAGGUGUAUCUACAUUAGGGCAUGAAUGUUAGAUACAUCUAAAAUUGAGUUUAAUCUCUGUCAGCCGUUUUCAUUAUUCAGGCCACACUUGCACAGAAUUUAGAAAAAAGAAAAUUCCUUAAAAUAUAAAAAAAAACCUCUACAAUUAUUUAUAACUGAGUUAUUACCUGAUUCAAGGUGUAUCUACAUUAGGGCAUGAAUGUUAGAUACAUCUAAAAUUAAGUUUAAUCUCUGUCAGCCGUUUUCAUUAUUCAGGCCACACUUGCACAGAAUUUCUAUAUUUAAAAAAAAGGAAAUUCCUAAAGAUGUACAGUAUGACUUAUAAUUAUCAAUAGGUUAUAGUGAAUGUAUUUUCUACCAUUUCUCAGAAAUGACAAUCUGAGACAGCCCCAUAUGAUUUAGGAAAAUAUACAUUUAUUUUUUUUCCAAGUCAAGAAUUGUUUCUAACAAGCUGGGCUAAAAAAAUAGUGUUUUAUAAUUUCCUAUUUUCUUGUUAAGAUAUUUUAGUGUUCUUAAUUUGUCAAGCAGCUAUAACUAAAAAGUUUAUGGGGCACCUUUAGUAGAAGCAAAUGCUGAUUAGUCUCUGAACUAAUGAAGCGACCUUUCAUAAUUAUGCACUUUCAUCAAAGAUUUAGGAAAGAUAAUGCAAUAUUCACAACUUUAUGUGAUGCAUUAUCGACACUGACCUGUGCUAGGAAUUAGGGCUAACGUCUGGUAUGAUACAAUGGGUACAGCCGACAGGUCCACAGCUCUGUCAACACCAAGUCAGCGGAGGGGCAGGUUCCAACACAUCUACUGGUAAAGCCUAUACCAUAUAGAAACCAGCAUGCCCAUGUCGGGAUUGGUGGGGGUGUUAAGGGUGGGAUUGGGGAGGUGAGAGAGUUGUGUAUAUAUGUAGUCCUCUCUUUAUGUUAUGUGUAAUAAGUUAAUUGUUUUUACUGGUCGUAAAUAAUUAGGUAGUUUUACUUGAAAUCCUUCCCUAUUUUUUAUGCUAUAUUUUGUUUGAGGAGUCAUUUUGCAAAUUUGUCUAUGCAAUUUUAGAGAAAGGAAUGUUUCAUAUUAAAAACAAUUUUUUUAAAUAUGAUCUCUAAAAGCAGUUCAUGUAUUUCAUAUAAUUUGUUUUCUACUGUAAGAGAGAAAGUGUAAGUUGAAUUUAUCAUCAAAAGAUUGAUAUGAAUGUAGUUUUAUUUGAACUCACUGUAAUGUGUUAGGAGUGCCAGGGAUGCAAUGUUUAUUUGAAUUAUUGUAAUGUUAGAGAAUGGCAGGAAUGAAAGUUACAUCUAUGCUAUUGUAAUACUAGGAGUGUCAGGAUUUCAUUUUUGAUUCAAGUUAUUGUAAUGUAAGAGAAUGACAUGAAUGAUAUUUAAUUUAUUGUAAACUAAAUUAUAUAUAUAUUUUUUUUUUCAUGAAAUUACACUAAAUUCAUAUUGAAAUGACGAUGAUAUUUAAUAGUUUUUUGUACUAGAUUAUAUUUUCAUAUGGAUUGAAUUGUUUUAAAUAUGAAGCAUUCCUUACAGGCCAAUGAUGCAACAUGUCAACAUUACUUUUAAUGAUAAGCAACAUGAUAAGCAAAGAAUAUUCUUACAUCAUUACUGACAACAACUGAGGCCAGUUAGUUAAAAAUGUAUUUAUAAUUGAAGAUAGUCCUAAAUCAUCUCAGACUUGACUGCCAGUCUUUAUUUUGUAUUUAUAGCAUGCUUCUUAAAACAUUAAACAUUGCUGAAAGUG